CCUACGGGAGGCAGCAGUAGGGAAUCUUCCACAAUGGACGAAAGUCUGAUGGAGCAACGCCGCGUGAACGAUGAAGGCUUUCGGGUCGUAAAGUUCUGUUGUAAGGGAAGAACAAGUGCCGCAGGCAAUGGCGGCACCUUGACGGUACCUUGCGAGAAAGCCACGGCUAACUACGUGCCAGCAGCCGCGGUAAUACGUAGGUGGCAAGCGUUGUCCGGAAUUAUUGGGCGUAAAGCGCGCGCAGGCGGCCUCUUAAGUCUGAUGUGAAAGCCCCCGGCUCAACCGGGGAGGGCCAUUGGAAACUGGGAGGCUUGAGUAUAGGAGAGAAGAGUGGAAUUCCACGUGUAGCGGUGAAAUGCGUAGAGAUGUGGAGGAACACCAGUGGCGAAGGCGACUCUUUGGCCUAUAACUGACGCUGAGGCGCAAAAGCGUGGGGAGCAAACAGGAUUAGAUACCCUGGUAGUCCACGCCGUAAACGAUGAGUGCUAGGUGUUGGAGGGUUUCCGCCCUUCAGUGCUGAAGCUAACGCAUUAAGCACUCCGCCUGGGGAGUACGGUCGCAAGGCUGAAACUCAAAUGAAUUGACGG
rnacentral:rRNA from 1 species